AUUGAACGCUGGCGGCAUGCCUUACACAUGCAAGUCGAACGGCAGCGCGGACUUCGGUCUGGCGGCGAGUGGCGAACGGGUGAGUAAUACAUCGGAACGUACCCUGUUGUGGGGGAUAACUAGUCGAAAGAUUAGCUAAUACCGCAUACGACCUGAGGGUGAAAGUGGGGGACCGCAAGGCCUCACGCAGCAGGAGCGGCCGAUGUCUGAUUAGCUAGUUGGUGGGGUAAAGGCCCACCAAGGCGACGAUCAGUAGCUGGUCUGAGAGGACGAUCAGCCACACUGGGACUGAGACAGGGCCCAGACGCCUACGGGAGGAAGCAGUGGGGAAUUUUGGACAAUGGGGGCAACCCUGAUCCAGCAAUGCCGGGGGUGUGAAGAAGGCCUUCGGGUUGUAAAGCACUUUUGUCCGGAAAGAAAUCGCGCUGGUUAAUACCUGGCGUGGAUGACGGUACCGGAAGAAUAAGCACCGGCUAACUACGUGCCAGCCACCGCGGUAA
rnacentral:rRNA from 1 species